UACGUAGGGGGCAAGCGUUGUCCGGAAUCAUUGGGCGUAAAGAGCGUGUAGGCGGUCCGGUAAGUCGGCUGUGAAAGUCCAGGGCUCAACCCUGGGAUGCCGGUCGAUACUGCCGGACUAGAGUUCGGAAGAGGCGAGUGGAAUUCCCGGUGUAGCGGUGAAAUGCGCAGAUAUUGGGAGGAACACCAGUGGCGAAGGCGGCUCACUGGACCGGUACUGACGCUGAUGCGCGAAAGCGUGGGGAGCAAACGGGG
rnacentral:rRNA from 1 species